UACGUAGGGUGCGAGCGUUAAUCGGAAUUACUGGGCGUAAAGGGCGCGUAGGCGGUGAUACAUGUGUGAUGUGAAAGCCCCGGGCUUAACCUGGGAACUGCAUCCGAGACUGCAUUGCUAGAGUAUGGGAGAGGAAAGCGGAAUUUCUGGUGUAGCAGUGAAAUGCGUAGAUAUCAGAAGGAACAUCAGUGGCGAAGGCGGCUUUCUGGACCAAUACUGACGAUCAGGUGCGAAAGCGUGGGGAGCAAACAGG
rnacentral:rRNA from 1 species